rnacentral:rRNA from 1 species
GACGAACGCUGGCGGCGUGCCUAACACAUGCAAGUCGAACGAGAUCCAUGGGAGCUUGCUCCCGGAAGAUCUAGUGGCGAACGGGUGAGUAACACGUGAGAAACCUGCCCUGGAGUGGGGAAUAACUCGGGGAAACUCGAGCUAAUACCGCAUACCCUCGGAUGGUCGCAUGGCCGACCGAGGAAAGAUUUAUCGCUCUAGGAGGGUCUCGCGGCCUAUCAGCUAGUUGUGGGGUAACGGCCUACCAAGGCAACGACGGGUAGCUGGUUUGAGAGAACGAUCAGCCACACUGGGACUGAGACACGGCCCAGACUCCUACGGGAGGCAGCAGUGGGGAAUCUUGCGCAAUGGGCGAAAGGCCUGACGCAGCAACGCCGCGUGCGGGAUGACGGCCUUCGUGG